rnacentral:lncRNA from 1 species
AUUAGCUGAGAGAGAUUCUAUUAUGUAUCAGUCACGAACAUAUCAUCUAUUGACAGUCAAUUAUAUUUUUUUUAAUUAAAAAUAUUGUAAAAAUAAUUUUUUAAUAAUUACGAUGAAAUAGAUAAACCAAAGAGAAACAAUCUGAUUGGUUGAUAACAUUACACAUCAGCAAUAUAACUGGUACAUUCUAAAUCUUUUCAUGAAUUGGAGGUUAGUAUUUCACAUCAUUACCU